AACACAAAAACUACUUUCAAAUUGUCACUUUCAUUUUUAGUUAGGGUUCUUUCAAAACUAGUAAUUUAUAGAGGUCCAAUCGGUCCCUGUGGUUUGAGACCCUUACUUGUACCAACCAUAUAUUGGCACUUGGAAGGAACACAACAUUGGAUAUCACUCAAAACCCACCAAAUGACUCCUCCCACCAUAUGAUGAUGUUCC
rnacentral:lncRNA from 1 species